UACGUAGGGUGCGAGCGUUAAUCGGAAUUACUGGGCGUAAAGGGUGCGCAGGCGGUUAUAUAAGACAGAUGUGAAAUCCCCCGGGCUCAACCUGGGGAACUGCGUUUUGUGACUGUAUGACUAGAGUACGGUAGAGAGGGGUGGAAUUCCUGGUGUAGCAGUGAAAUGCGUAGAUAUCAGGAGGAACAUCGAUGGCGAAGGCAGCCCCCUUGGACCUGUACUGACGCUCAUGCACGAAA
rnacentral:rRNA from 1 species